rnacentral:lncRNA from 1 species
GAAAAGCAAGUUGAUUGAAGGAAAAAUCUGUGGUCCGGGGAGAUGUUCCAAAUCCUGGAGGUGGAGAGGAAUGAAUGACGUUUGUGGCUUGCAGAUCAACUCCCCGCAGCGGGCGUGACGUCAUUGCAGCCAAAAUUGUCCUCCACGCACUGCUACGGCAGAGGAGCAACAAGUUGGAUGAGCAGCAGAUGAGUGAUGUCUCCUCGGUGCCCACCAGGAUUUCCUGUCCAAAGGCAGCCUUCAUUUCCUGCUCAGUCUGCCUGGCGCAUCGCAGCCUUGGCCCCAUUUAACAGGUGAGAAAACUGAGACUCCGGGCAGCAUUCCCAUGCCCGAAACCAUCAGCUCCAGCUUCCCCAGGCCCUGCUACCCUCUAGGUGGGACAGAAUUCUAAAAGCCCUUGGCUUACCUGGGAGGAUGACUUGGAGUCCUUAAGACCAACCCUUGGCCACCUCUUCCAGGAAGUCUUCCUGUCUUGAGCUGGCCAGGAACCUUUCUCCUCUGAAUCCCACUCUUGCUUGUGGCAGGCCUGGCAAGUGUGUUCUCCGAGGGGAGACUGGUGGUUUCCGAUCCUCCAGACCCCACCCAGCCCACCGUGCCUCCUCCUUGCAGGAAAAUUAGAAAAAGAAAAAUGGAGGGGGCACUUCUGGAAGGGAAAAUAUUUUGAUUCUCUGAAGGCACAAAAAUUGCCUGAUUCCCAACCAAUUAGGGGUAAUUAACCCUUCACAAAGUAGUAAUUAAGUCUGUGCCUCUGAAACUUUAAUUACAAGCUCCAAGAGACUCUGCCCUCUCCCCAGUAGCCAGGCAGCCCCCAGAACUGAGGCCACGCUGUGGAGACCGGGUGUACCCCUUCUGCACUAGCGGGGAGUCGGGGACAGGGCUCUGCUCCCCUCCUGGGGCUGAGCGAGACCCAUAGCCUCUCUCGUGGCCACCCCCAGGCAGGGAUCCCAAGAGCAAUGUUCGAGAAACCAGAUCUCUUCCCUGCAUAGUCCCUUUUGGGGUUGUCAGGGCACACGGGGAGACUUUGCUCUCGGGGGUAUAAAGGCAACGGGUGCAGGCUGGGCUGGGGUUCGUGUGUGGGGCUGGUAACAACCAUUUUUUAUUUUUUUUUUGAGACGGAGUUUCGCUCUUGUUGC